rnacentral:tRNA from 1 species
GUUUUAAUAGCUUAGCCACAAAGCACUGGUCUUGUAAGCCAGAGACGGGGAACUUCCUCCCCUUAAAACA